GACGAACGCUGUCGGCGUGCCUAAUACAUGCAAGUAGGACGCAGUUGCGAACUGGUGAGUAACGCGUAGGUAACUACCUAUUAGAGGGGGAUAACUAUUGGAAACGAUAGCUAAUACCGCAUACUAGUAGAUGGACCUGCGUUGUAUGAGCUAGGAGGUAGGGUUAUGGACCACCUAGGCAACGAUACAUCAGCGACCUGAAAGGGGGAUAGGGCACACUGGAACUUGGUAGCGGCCCAGACUCCAACGGGAGGCAGCAGAUGGGAAUCGUCGGCAAUGGGGGGAACACUGACCGAGCAACGGCGCGUGAGUUAAGAAGGUUUUCGGAUAGUAAAGCGCUGUUGUUAAGGAAGCGGUACUUAACCAGAGAGGGACGGCUAACUACGUGCCAGCAGCCGCGGUAAUAC
rnacentral:rRNA from 1 species